rnacentral:rRNA from 1 species
GCGGAGGAAAAGAAACCAACAGGGAUUGCCCUAGUAACGGCGAGUGAAGCGGCAACAGCUCAAAUUUGAAAUCUGGCUUCGGCCCGAGUUGUAAUUUGCAGAGGAAGCUUUAGGCGCGGCACCUCCUGAGUCCCCUGGAACGGGGCGCCACAGAGGGUGAGAGCCCCGUAUAGUUGGAUGCCUAGCCUGUGUAAAGCUCCUUCGACGAGUCGAGUAGUUUGGGAAUGCUGCUCAAAAUGGGAGGUAAAUUUCUUCUAAAGCUAAAUACCGGCCAGAGACCGAUAGCGCACAAGUAGAGUGAUCGAAAGAUGAAAAGCACUUUGAAAAGAGGGUUAAAUAGCACGUGAAAUUGUUGAAAGGGAAGCGCUUGUGACCAGACUUGCGCCGGGCUGAUCAUCCGGUGUUCUCACCGGUGCACUCUGCCCGGCUCAGGCCAGCAUCGGUUCUCGCGGGGGGAUAAAGGCCCUGGGAACGUAGCUCCUCCGGGAGUGUUAUAGCCCGGGGCGGAAUGCCCUCGCGGGGACCGAGGUUCGCGCUCUGCAAGGAUGCUGGCGUAAUGGUCAUCAGCGACCCGUCUUGAAACACGGACCAAGGAGUCAAGGUUUUGCGCGAGUGUUUGGGUGUAAAACCCGCACGCGUAAUGAAAGUGAACGUAGGUGAGAGCUUCGGCGCAUCAUCGACCGAUCCUGAUGUUCUCGGAUGGAUUUGAGUAGGAGCGUUAAGCCUUGGACCCGAAAGAUGGUGAACUAUGCUUGGAUAGGGUGAAGCCAGAGGAAACUCUGGUGGAGGCUCGCAGCGGUUCUGACGUGCAAAUCGAUCGUCAAAUCUGAGCAUGGGGGCGAAAGACUAAUCGAACCAUCUAGUAGCUGGUUACCGCCAAUUUCCCCUCC